UUGCGGCAGCACCGGCGCGUAGGGAGGCGGGCAGCUCUCUGUCCCGGUUGAGGCCUUUCCAUGCGAACCCGGCCGGGCUACUGUUGCCUGAGUGCCCCGAGAGGUGCUGCCGGGGAAGCCCGCUGCACCUGCUUAGGUGCUCAGGAAUUAGAGAGGCACUAUUUCUUCUUCACCUAGUGCUAUAAAUUGCAGAGGAACCCUGACCAGCUGCAGAAAGAGGAGUGGCCCUGGCACAAAAGUGUAAUUAGUAACUCGACUGUCUGAGAGCCCAAAGCUGACCGUGUAGUUUGCCUAGAAGCACAGAAGAACUCGGAUUUACUGGGGAGCAGGAUGUCAUAACACCCUUAUUUCUCCCUCACGGCAGUAUUUCUGGUUCUGCCUCCUGCUCCUGGUUUUGGAAAAAGGACCGCCACAGACAACCUGCUGUGCCCAUUCAUCUUCCUGAGUGCUUCUGGAGGCCCUUGCACAACAUCCUGCCACAGGAGUGGAAACACAAACUGCUGUUCUAUGUGAGGGCCCUGGAAACCUUUAAGGAAACUGUUAAGACUGCGCAUAGGGAAAGUAACUGUUGGUCAACAGCUGGAGUUUUCCUCAGUCCUAUCACUCAGAAACAAAGGAAUACAAUGUAGUUUAAAAAAAAAAAAAAAA